GACGCGACGUUGAAACAUACGUAGUCAAUAUCAACGGUGUUUCAUAACGUAAAAGGAGCAAACAUGCAAACUAGUGACAUAUGGUAACCUAGAUAUUGUAUUAGUAAAUGAACGUAUGGGACACGUCAUUCGUAAGCCGAAUACAGAACAGAUCUUAUAUAAGCCGAACACAGACCAGGUCUUAUGUAGGCCGAAUACCGACAGGGUCUUAAGCAUGCCGAAUACAGAACAGGUCUUGCGUAAGCCGAAUACAGAACAGGUCUUAUGUAAGCCGAACACAGACCAGGUCUUAUGUAAGCCGAAUACAGACAAGGUCUUAAGCAAGCCGAAUGCAGACAGGGUCAUAUGUAAGCCUAAUACACACCAGAUAUUAUGCAAGCCGAAUACACAACAGGUCAUGUGUAAGCCGAAUACAGAACAGUUCUUGUGUAAGCCGAAUAGAGACAAGAUCUUAUGCAAGCCGAAUACACAACAGGUCGUAUGUAAGCCGAAUACAGAACAGGUCGCAUGCAAGCCAAAUACAGAACAGGUCUUACGUAGACAAAUACAGACCAGGUCGUAUGCGAGCCGAAUACAGACAAGGACUUAUGUAAGCCGAAUACAGAACAGGUCUUUUGUAAGCCGAAUAUAGAAAGGAUCUUAUGUAAGCCGAAUAUAGACCGGAUCUUAUGUAAACCAAAUACAGAUCAGGUCGUAUGUGAGCCGAAUACAGACAAUGACUUAUUUGAGACGAAUACAGAACAGGUCUUAUGUGAGCCUAAUACAGAACAGGUCUUGGGUAAACCGAAUACAGACCAAGUUGUACAAAAGGCGAAUACAGAACAGGACAUGUGUAAGCCGAAUAUAGACCGGAUCUUAUGUAAGCCGAAUAUAGACCGUAUCUUAUGUUGGUCGAAUAUGGACCAGGUCUUAAGUAAGCCGAUUACUGACCAGGUCUCAUUUAAGUGGAAUACAGAACAGAACUUAUUUAUGCCGAAUACAGACCAGACCACGUCGACAACGGAUAUUGGAGGAAUAACGAAAGACUCAAACUAUUUGGACCCAGCGCAGUACCCAAGGCUAGCGCCCGGUGGAGUCGCCUUCCAGAUCAAAGUGGAUCCUCCACGACACGCAAGGUCGCGCGCCCGACCGGCUCUCUGAGAAAAAACGCGUACCGCUCAAGCAUACGCCCUCUGAGAAGAAAGUGCUCGCCCACUACCUCCGCGAGGACCUGUUGGAGGACAGGCGCAUUCAGGAGCGCCGGAAGUUCCGCCAUCGGGAGGCAGCCAGGAGGCGCCGCGACACCCGCACAGGCGUCGAUCAUCCCAAGCUAGCGGAUGAAGACAGGGAAACACACACGAUUGCCAGGAGGGUCCGACAUGUCAAGGCCAUUGCUGCGGAGGUAAAGGUCAGAGUCAAAGCAGAGGUUCAGAAUGAGGUCAAGGCCGUUAAAAAUAGGAAGAGAACAAACGUGAAGUAACGUAGAUCAGGGAUUUUUUACCGCAUAAGAAUUGAUGCUUGACAAUCACACGCCACUUAUAUCAUUUUACUUGAACCUAUGUAUGAAAUGAAUAAAACAAAGACUCAACGUG